ensembl:snoRNA U3 Small nucleolar RNA U3
AAGCCUGUACUCUCAGGGAUCAUUGCUGUAGUUACGAGAUAAGCUUCUCUAAACAUGCAGAGCAGUAGUAACUAUGAGGAGGCACAGUCUCUCCUGACCGUGACUCUGGCUGUUGGUGUGGCUUUGCUGCAGCUGCCGUGUGCCACUGAUGAUCCUGCUCCUCUUCCUUCGGGAAAGUAAGAGGGAGAGAACAGCCUGAGUGGG